rnacentral:tRNA from 1 species
GCCGGUUUAGCAUAGAUGUUAGUGCGUGAGAUUGUAAAUCUUAAGGUGGAUCAUCCAGCCGGAA